GGUGUCCCACACGCCCCACCUCUUGGGCAUCCCAAGUUCUUCCAUGCCCAAGGCUAUUGGGCAUCCCCUAUUUACUAGUUUUCUAGUGUUUGAUAGUAGUACUAAGCAAAGGAUAAAGGUAAGAGAAGAAAAGAAGAAGAAGAUUAAGGAAAGAGAUCAAGAGUUGAUCGCGAUCUAGGUUUCGUUCAAAUUCAGCAGGCUAAA
rnacentral:lncRNA from 1 species